rnacentral:piRNA from 1 species
UUAGACCUCCAUCAAAGCACAGGUCCC